rnacentral:tRNA from 1 species
GUUAAGAAAACUGAUGGCCUUCAAAGCCGUAAUUAGGUAAAUUACCUAGAUGUUAGAUA